rnacentral:tRNA from 1 species
GUCAGGAUGGCCGAGCGGUCUAAGGCGCCAGACUCAAGGUAUAUCCUUACCCUGUUAUGCAGGGUUGUUGAGUGUUCUGGUCCGCGAAUGUGAGCGUGGGUUCGAAUCCCACUUCUGACA